UCUCCUGACCUUGUUAUCCGCCCGCCUUGGCCUCCCAAAGGGCUGGGGUUACAGGCCUGAGCCACCACGCCUGGCCUGCAAUUAAUUUUUAACAGUCUGUAAUUUAAUUUUGCCCCAGCACAAUUCAAUAAAUGUCAACUGUUUAUUUUGGCAAACCAUAGGCACAUUCCCUGCAGACUUUCUAUUCUAAAGUGUUUCACCUCACUAUUCAAGGCUAGUGUUCCUCAUCUUCUCCCAAGACCAUAUAGUAAAAUUUUUAAUGGUAUUUCUGCUGUAGAAACUCUCCUUUCUACAACAUGUGCCUAGAUGAAAUUCUAAUCGGCUACAUCCAACCCCUUCCUGAUAAUUCUACUUAGGCUAACACAAUCGCCUCAAAUCUAGAAAGUCUGAUAGGGAUAUUCUUGCAUCCCCCAUGAAAUUUUGUUUGUUAAUACUUUAGUCAGUGUCAACUUAUGUAUGAGCCCACCUUACAGAAUUGUCUAAGUCAGAAUUAUAUGAAAAUUUUUCCUGUCCUUCCGUAGAUCGUUGCCAAGUCUUGCCACUUCUACAUUUUAGUAUUUAGUCUGCCUUGCUCUUUGCCUUUUAUUUCUACUAUCACUCAAAAUAAUACCAUUCUCAUUACUCUACCAUUACUCUAGGCCAGGCCCUCUCAAACUUCUUCCCAUUUGAAUGUUAACAUGAUUAAAAAGUUUCUUUUUUUCUUUCCUGCCUUUUUAAUUUAUCCCCAUUUCAUACAAACUAAAGUCUGUAAACUCGAAUGCAAUAUGUGAGGUUUUUUUAUUGCAUUCCAUAUUCUUCUCUAUUCUCAGUUAUAUCCAUAGAUUGCCUUACACUUUUUCACAAACAUCACAGAACUUCUGGAUUUUCUUGGAUGUACCACGUGAUUUCAAAACUUCUUACUGUUUCAUAUUCUCUUGUUUGCCUAUAAUAAUUUUAUUCUCAUUAACACCCCCCCCCCCAAUCUUGACCUCUGCUUUCUUUGAAAACUUGUCAUCUUUGAAGCCCAGAUAAGGUGCUAACUUCUUAGAAAAAUGUUUUCUACUUAAUUCAUGUCACAAUAGAGAGUUCGUUUUUCUCUACCGCUAUGGUUAGUAAAUGCUUCUAUCUUUUAUAUGCUAUGCCACAUAACAAACUACCGUUAAUAAUUUUGAUUUUAUCACAGUUACAAUCUUAUUUAAGAUCAAGAUUAUUUGGUUUUAUAUCUGCCCUGUAUGACUAAGCUGGUGUCUAGAAUAGAGUCAGGAUAAACUUAUACUUAACAAUUGAAUUGAUAAAUACCUUUUUUUCUCUUCUAUAAACUACAAUUUUAAAUAUUUACAACAAGUAGGGGAAAAAAGUAUAAAUACAUAUAUGAAAAUGGUUUUAAUGCCUUAGUCCAGGCCAGUUUACUUGGCUUAAUGAGAAAGUGUUAUAAGUAGGUAUUGGAAUUAUAUAGUUAAAUAUAUACACAUAUAUGUGUGUGUGUGUAAAUGUGAUGUUCAUAUAAUAUAAUUUAAAUAAGUAUGAUUUAUAAUUUGAGAUCUAAAAACUGUUACAACUCUAAUAUACCAAUUUUUCUGAUAAUGGCAAUAUAUUUAAAAUAUUUUCUUUUGCAAAUUUCUUAUCAUGCACUAUAAUUAUCAGUGAUUGGUUUGAAACUAUCUAAUACAUAAUUACAGCUUUGAUUUUAUGGUUGAAGGAAAAUGUAUGCAUUUACAAUAUGUAUGUUUUAUAGAAAAUUGGAAUUAAAAGUUAAAGUAUUCUGAAUACAUUCCCAGCCUUAACUACAGCAUUUUUAACUAAGCCUCAACUGAUAUCGCAUAUUUUUCUCAGAAUAACAAGUAUUUAUUUGAUACAUUUAAGGCAAUUUUUUACUCAUUAUUUUACUGUCAAUUAUAACACAAACUUAGGCUCUAUUCAGAAUUUUUCUCUUUUGUAAAAAGUUUACUUGGGAAAUAUUAACAGACUAAACAUAACAGCAACAACAGAAAAAUCAACCUGAACAAUUCCCGUCUCCAUUUCUUUAGGCAUAAGUUCUAUUUUAUUUGUUAUUACAAUUUUCAAGGCAAUUAAUUAUAUAAAUUUAUUUUAGUUUUAUGAUAUUAGUUAAAAAGAUAUAUCUUUAUAUAAGAUUUGCAGCCUUUCCUUGAGCAUCACACUGAGAUAUUUUUAUUAAAGUAAAUAGAUGAGAAAACAUUAUGAAUCCAUGUUUGUCGUAUAUAAUCUGGAAAAAGUAAAUUCUUCAGGGACUCUCACUUUUGACUAUAAAAGAAGGCAUGCUUGCUACCAAAUUUUUUCCUCUUAUUUGAAAGAAAAAAUAAACAGAAAGAUUUUAUAACAUAGUCAUUUGGAACAAACUGAGGAUAGUAUGAAUAUAAAUAUAUUAUGUCUAGAUUAAUUUUGAGCUUGCUAAUUUUUUUCCUCAGCUUUCACUUGCCCUUUCACUUCAUAAAAAAUUCUUUUUCAAAGAUCAAGGGCAGCUCCCUUUUUCUUGUGUGGUCUUAGACUCAUUAACGGAUUUUAUAGGAGAGUUCCAUAUUUCUGACUCAGAAUAACAGUUACUUAUAAACUGCUUCUUAUGUCUGGGCAAUUGUUUCUAUUAUCCCAUGUUUCUCUUUCUGUUUUCAGGAAGGUUGAACCAGAACUGGUUAAUAUAUUACGUUACAUAGCAAAAGGACUUUGCCUACGUGAUGAAAUUGAGGAUCUUGGGAUGGUGGGUAUCCUGGAUAAUCUGAGUGGAGUGAGGAGAGGAAGGGGUCUCUAGCCCAAGAAUGCAAGCAGCCUCCAGAAGGUGGAAAAGGCAAGGGAACACCUUCCCCGGGCAGAGAUUACAGAAAGAAUCAACGAUACACGCACCUUGAUUGUAGCCCAACAAGACUGAUGUUGUACUUCUGACCUCAACAACAGGGAGGAAAAACAUUGUCCUAAAAUGGAUUACUUCAGAUCCUGCAAGAAGCAAUUGCUGAGGAAGAAUUUCAAAAAUCUGCCAAAAUGUAUUAGAAGAAAUACCUAUGAGGGCAAAUGAAGAGGUUGGAAGAAAAGUUUGGGUGAAUCUUCAGAGCAUGAUACAAUUCUAACCCAGUGAAGGAGAGGAAAAAAGAAGAUUGGAUGAAAGCAUUAGACCUCUCUAAGUUUGUCAAGGAUACUAGGGACUUCCUGAGCAAAAGACUUGUGGCUCCUAGGAAGCCCACUGCACUUAUCUUGACUUUCACACAAAGACAAUUAUGGAUUUCCAUAUGCAGUAGCCAGGCUUUUGUUUUAUUAUAUUCACUCUAUUUGGAUGUUUGCAAGCCAUCUUCAUGUUGCAUGGCUAGAAAACAAACCAGAUCUCUUGAGGCGGGUUUUCAAAUGUGUCAACUGGAACUGCAUAAAUGAUUAAUACUGCCAUAUACAGCAUUUAAUUUAACCCAUCCUUCCGUGGAACAAACAUUAGAGAAAGUGGCAAAGUUUAAUAAAAUUGUAUUGGACUUGAAGUAGGAAAUUCUAAAUUUUCUAUUUUGAAUAAUAUUGUCCCCCAGAAUCGCAAAGUGUGAAUGCCUUUUGUUUCAGAGUUCGAGCCCUAAAUGGUUUAGUCAAUUACAUCAUGCAUUCUAAAACAAGUCCUGGUGCAUUUGUGAUGGUACUACAUAUAAUUGUGUUUUUAAUUUAACUAUCAUAUAUGUCUACUUUUCUCUUAAGAGUCUACAUUUUACAGAGGCCCUCCAUACAUAUAAGGGCUUUUAUGAUAGUCUAUCCACUAAAUUUCAAACAUAAGUUAAGGAACAGUUUUGCUUUUAUUUUUUAUUAUUGUUAUUAUAUUUUAAGGCUAGUCAAGUGAAGCAGUGGGAGUGGAUAAGGAACUGCUUUAAUUUUUAUAUGUUGGUGUUACAGGCUGUAUGUGACAGGCUAUAUAUUUGUAGGGUGAGUGUUAGAAACAAAGUGAAAUAUUUAUUUCGUAUUUCAUUGGAUGUAGGGAUGAUGAUUACUUCAAGGGAUUGUCACUAGACUGAAAGCACCACAUCACCAAUCACUUGGAAACAAUAUUUUGCCUAUGUGUUCUGUUAUGUUGACAAAAACUUUUAUUGUGGCAAUAUACCUCACAAUUGAAAUAUGUGAAAAACAUACAGAAAAAAGACAAUAUUUGUUAUCAAGGGAUAUUUAGGCCUGAGCUGCAGGAUGCAAAUAUUUAAAAUAUACACUUUUUAAAAAUUAGAUUUAAAAUGUAAAUUGAAGCAGAGCAUUUAGAAAAAGACAUAAUAUCUACUAUAAAAGUCCUGGGUUAGAAAAGUUAAAAUACUAAAUGAGAAAAUAAUGCUUCUUGGGUAGCUUAAAAUCGAAUAUGAGGCAAAAAAUUACUCAGAAUUUUUUCUAAGAUUAAGAACAUGUAUACAGUCUCUUUGAUAUAAAAUGAAAUAAAUGUCUGGAUAUAACUUUAAUAGGGAAACAAGGGUAAAGGAGAGGUGUAUUCAGAAUAAAGUGAACAUAUUAUUCUAACAAUGAGAGGGACAGAAUUGAAUGAUUGCUCUUGGAGAUAAGGGAUUUUGGUGUCUAAGUUAAUGACAAAUCUUUUGUUUGCAAGUUUUAAAAUGUACCUUAAACCUGGUGAAGGAAUAAAGGGUGGUGGAGGGGAUGAUUCUUUGUACUAAACUGGUUUUAUGACUAAUGAAUUAAUCAUAAGUUCAAAUGAUUUUAUGGAGGCCCUUUCUUUUUUAUUUGAUAUUUCUGGACUGUUUUUCUCUUCGUAUUUGUUCCAUUUUUACCUGUUUGAACAAUUUUUCCCCACAAAGUUUAGGAAACACUGUAACCACAUGCUCCAGCAUGAUGUGAUCCCUGAAAGCAUUUGCAGCUGGGGGAGGAGGCAAAGGGGCUUCUCUUUCAACAAAUGCAUAUUAAUCUUGGUGAAAACUCAGAAGUUGAAACAUGGUCCUCCUUGGGUCAUGUGGCUACCCCAGGACCAGUCAUUGCACCAGACAUAGGACAUAGUCUCAAAAGCCAGGCUGGAGUCAAGGUUCUCUGGUGGAGUUUCCAUUUUAGAAAUGGGUUUUGUCAGGCUUUGUGUUUUCGUGUUACAGACAUGAUAGCCAUAUAUCUAUCUAUUCCACUUCCAGUGGAGAUGAAAACCUAAAGCAUAUGCCCACUCAAUGGAUUUUACAUGAAUCUUCAUAACAGCUUUACUUGCAACAGCCAAAACCUGAAAACAGUCCAAAUGUCCAUGGACAGGUGAAUUUGUGACUGAUAAACUUACUAUAGUAUAUGUAUAUAAUGAAAUAAUACUCCCUAGUAAGAACAGAACAACUGAUAGAUGUAGCAACAUGAAUAAAUCUCCAAAAUAGUGCUGCUGAGUGAUGAAAAAGUAUACCCACCCUAUGAUUUCAUGUAUUUGGAAAUAGAAACUCACAGGGACUGCAGGUGGAUCAGUGGUUGCCUGUGGAUGGGAUGGGGAUAGGCAGGAGAAAGUGAGUAGAAAAACACAAGAAAGUGAGUAGAAAAACACAAAUAAAGGUAAUGGAUAUGCUUUUUAUUUGAAUAUGUUGUUGGUUUUAUAGAGCUACAAAUACCAAGAAUAAUCAAAAUGUACAGUUGAAGUAUGUGCAGUUUAUUGCAUGUAAAUAAACCUUUUAAAAAUUAA